UAGCCAAGGAUGACUUGCUCG
rnacentral:miRNA from 1 species